AGUUUUCAGUCGUAAUCUGUGUCUGUUUUAGGCUCUUCUGGUCCUGCAUCAGCCUGAAAGCAUCGAGCUUUGGAACCCAGACGCUCCUGUGAAAACUUUCUGGGACAUCAGGAAGCUGUUUGGUCUGCAGCUGAUCAGCAGCACUGAGAUUCUGAAGUGGAUUCAAAAGAUUCUCACCUGCACAAACACAUUUCUUCUCAGGAACAAAGAUCAGGCCACAGCAGGCAGUCACAUCACCAUCUGCCUGCAGGCCUAGACCAAGCUGGAGGUCUGUCUUUACAUGUUCCCGUGGAGUCCAGACACGGAGGCAGUUCUGGUGGACAUGUCCUGUUUCCACUACCUGUGUGAGUGUUUCAUGGUGUUUGCAUCCGUCAGUAACAUGAUG
rnacentral:lncRNA from 1 species